GCCCCUGUAGCUCAGGGGAUAGAGCAGCGGUUUCCUAAACCGUUGGUCGGAAGUUCGAUUCUUCCCAGGGGCGCCA
rnacentral:tRNA from 1 species